rnacentral:rRNA from 1 species
AUCCACGGCCAUAGAACCCGUAAAACGUCGCAUCCCGUCCGAUCUGCGCAACUAAGUCGGGUAUCGCUCAGUUAGUACCAUGGUGGGGGACCACAUGGGAAUCCUGGGUGCCGUGGUUU